UUGGGUGCAGAUGAUGACAGCUUGAAAUCUGAACACAAUGAUUUCAGUUCAAAGUAAACGCACUGAUGCACCCUCC